GCUCGUUCCUCUCAGACAGCGGCCGCGCCCCUGGACAGCUGCAGCCAAUCAUAAAUCAGCGCACCUUGAUAUAAUGAGGCUCGUCACCAUAAGGACCAGCGCAGCUUGAGAUCCAGUGCUAGAACGUAGUUCUCUGUCCCUCAAAUACCCUCCGUCGCCUUGGAAUGAGCUGUGCGCCUCACUUCCCUGGACCCCCUCGGAAUUCUGACUGCCUUCCUGAGAACGACCUCUGCUUUGGACAUAGAGCUCUCUCCAGCCCCACAGACCUCCCGUUUGUGUUAUGGACCUUCUUCAGACUAGCCUAGUGUUUUUGAACCUUUUUUGAGCCAAGGCAGAUUUUUUGCGUUCAAAAGAUCCGGAGGCACACCACCAAGAGAAAUCAUAAAAGUACGAAACUCAGUUGACAGUAAAGAGUCAUUGUUGCAAUUAUUGGAUAUGACUUUAAACCAUAACCAAGCAUGCAUCAACAUAGCUCUUGUCUCAAAGUAGGUGUACUGUCACGACCUGGCACAUCACACAGUGACUUAUUUGGAGUGUUUUGCUGUUUUCCUUUGUAUAGUGCUUUAGUUAUUGUCUUGUGCUCCUAUUUUGGUAGCUUUUUCUCAUUUUUUGGAUCUCCCUGUAUCAGUUUCAUGUCUUCCUUGAGCGAUAUUUCCCGCAUCUACUUUGUUUUAGCAAUCAAGAAUAUUUUAGUUGUUUUUAUCUUUCUUUGUGGGGACAUUGUUGAUUGUCAUAACAUAUUCGGAUGUACAUUGUGGAAGCCGUCUGUGCUCCACAGUAAGUCUUUGCUGUCGUCCAGAAUUCUGCUUUUGUUUACUUUGUAGCCAGUUCAGUUUUAUUCUCAUUAUGCAUAGCCUUCCCUAAGCUUAAACUCACCAUUUGUUUAUUUUUUGUUUAAGCAUUAGACACCUUUUUACCUGCACGCUGCUUCCCGCUGUUUCCGACAUCUACAAAGGAAUUAGCUACCUGCUGCCACCUACUCAUAUGGACGAGUUUUACACGGUUACUCUGCCGAGCUCUAGACAGCACCGACACUCAACAAUAACAGAUUAUAUGCAGACUAUAAUUACUCAUUUUCAAAAAAUAUCUGUAACCCAAAUUGGUGAAAUUAGAUAAUCUCCCACGCACACCAGACUUUAUCUCAUGGCAUACUAAUGCCGCGGCAAAGUGGUUGAAAAACACUGGCUUAUCCCCUUUGAACUUGUCCUCAUCCUCAACCAACACGCACCU